rnacentral:tRNA from 1 species
GACAUAAUGUUGUAGUGGAAUCAUGUCUGUCUCACACACAGGAGGGUCCCCAGAUCGAAGCUGGGUGAUUUCA